rnacentral:rRNA from 1 species
UACGUAGGGGGCAAGCGUUGUCCGGAAUCAUUGGGCGUAAAGAGCGCGUAGGCGGCCCGAUAAGUCUGCUGUGAAAGUCCAGGGCUCAACCCUGGAAUGCCGGUGGAUACUGUCGGGCUAGAGUUCGGAAGAGGCAAGUGGAAUUCCUGGUGUAGCGGUGGAAUGCGCAGAUAUCAGGAGGAACACCUAUAGCGAAGGCAGCUUGCUGGGACGACACUGACGCUGAGGCGCGAAAGCGUGGGGAGCGAACAGG